GUUAAAAUAUAUAUUUUUUCUGUUUAUACGCACAUAUUUAUGUGUAUACAUGGUCCUGAUGGAUUGCUGUUAGAAUUUUUCAACCAGCGCACCCUACUGUCCCCUUUUUUGCUGCACAAUGGCUUUAUACAAUUGAUAAAUAUUGUUUUAUAGACUGUUUCUCAGGUAGGUUACAAUAACAAGAAGCAGAAGGUGAUUGCUUUUAUUUAUUAUUCUUUUUUUGCUUUUCUAAAUUCUGUAUUUUGUAUAUGUGGAGAUUAGAUAGAUAUAUAUAUAUAUAUACACACAUACAUGCAUACAUCUAUCUAUCUAUAUCUAUCUGUCUGUCUAUCUAUCUAUCUAUAAAUAUAUAUAUAUAUAUUUCAUUUCGUUAUUUCAUCAAGCUGCAAAUAUGUAUAUGAUUUCAUGUAUUACAUAUUAAUCUCCUUGCUCUGUCGUAUGUCAUUAUAUUAUUAUUACUAUUAUGGUUAUUAUUAUUAUUAUUAUUAUCAUCGUAUUAAUAAUCUAAAUUCUCUGUUGCCAAUGUUAUAUUUUUGCAGUGAAUUUUCACCACCAAAAGAAUCCUAAACUCUACUCUUCCCCUAGUACACAUAUUAACCUUUCCAUUUCUAUCUUUCCUUCUCUCUCUUUCUCACAUCCUCUUCCUCCCACUCACUACUUCCUCUUACUCUCUCCCCUCCUCUUCUCAUUCAUAAAAGCCGGAUGUAAUGACGGACGGCUUGCUUUAUUCAUUCUCUAUCGUUGUCAGCCUGAUUUUUUUUUUUUACUCGAUCUCAUUUUAUAUAUAUAUAUAUUGUCUCAUUCUUUCACUCGUGUGUACGCACUCCUAGCUAUCUGACUAUCUAUUUAUCUGUCUGUCAGCCUGACUGUCUGUCUAUUUACCUUUCCACCUAUAUGACUAGUUAUUUCUACCACACAUCUAUCUAUCUAUCUAUCUAUCUAUCUACUAUCUAUCUACCCUAUCUAUCUAUCUAUCUAUCUAUCUACCCAUCUACCUACCCAUCUAUCUAUCUAUCUAUCUAUCUACCCAUCUAUCUAUCUAUCUACCCAUCUAUCUACCCAUCUAUCUAUCUAUCUAUCUAUCUAUCUAUCUAUCUAUCUCUCUAUCUCUCUAUCUAUCUAUCUAUCUAUCUAUCUAUCUAUCUAUCUAUCUAUCUAUCUAUCUAUCUAAAUGCACACACACAUCCCUAUUUACCUAUUUAUGUUUGGAUGGUUGUCUCGUCUGAGUCUAUUUGGCUAUAUUUUCUCAUUAAGAAUACUUCUAAAUAUUGUUACUAGUGCGUGUGCACGCGCACGCAAACACAUUUAGUACUGCAAAUAUCCCCUCUAUAUACGUAUUUGUGUAUCUAUCUAUCUAUCUAUCUGUGUGUGUAUGUAUAUCUGUGCGUGUGUAUGUAUAUCUGCGUGCGUAUGUAUAUCUAUACGUAUGUGUAUAAGUAUAUAUAUACGUAUGUGUGUAUAUAUAUACCUAUACGUAUGUGUGUAUAUAUAUCUAUACGUAUGUGUGUAUAUAUCUAUACGUAUGUGUGUGUAUAUAUAUAUCUAUACGUAUGUGUGUAUAUAUAUCUGUACGUAUGUGUGUAUAUAUAUCUGUACGUAUGUGUGUAUGUAUAUCUACAUGUAUGUGUGAAUGUAUAUAUGUGUGUGUACGUAUAUCUAUGCAUAUGUAUGUGUGUAUGGAUAUCUAUACGUGUGUAUGCAAAUCUAUAUAUAUAUAUUUCUAUAUUUAAAGCAGCAGAAAAUUCAACAAAAUCUGUUACUCUGAGUUUCUCGUUGCCGUUCAAACUGUCUGAUGAACGGCAACGAGAAACUCAGAGUAACAGAUUUUGUUGAAUUUUCUGCUGCUUUAAAUAAAGCAUAUUACUCUACCACUGGUAUUUGAGUACUCUUUUUUUCCACCUUCUUUCACAUUUAUGUGUUUACUCCGGUAUAUAUAUUUCUAUGUAUGUGUGUAUGUAUAUCUAUAUAUGUAUGUGUGUGUGUAUGUAUAUCUAUAUAUAUGUAUGUAUGUGUAUGUAUAUCUAUAUGUGUAUGUGUGUAUAUAUGUAUAUAUAUAUAUUUAUGUGUGUAUAUAUAUAUAUAUAUAUAUGUGUGUGUGUGUGUAUGUAUGUCUGCGCAUGUAUGUGUAUAUAUAUAUGUGCAUGUGUGCAUAUAUACAUGAUUGUAUAUAUGUGUGUGCAUAUAUGUAUGUAUAUACUGGUGUGUGUGUGUAUAUAUGGCUAUAUAUAAUGGUGUGUGUUUGUACAUAUAAUUUUAUAUAUAUAUAUGUAUUUGUGUAUAUAUAUGUAGGUAGAUAUAUGUAUCGGUAUGAAUGUAUAUAUGUAUAGGUAUGUAUAUAUCCCUAUAUAUAUUUGUGUAAGCAUGUAUAUAUAUAUAUAUAUAUUUAUAUAUAAAUAUAUAUAUAGGUUUUGUAUUGUAUAUGUACGUGUGUAUGUAGGUUUGUAUUUAAAUAUAUAUAUAUGUAUAUUUAUGUAUAUAUAUAUAUAUAUAUAUAGGUAUG
rnacentral:lncRNA from 1 species